GCAGGAGGCGAAUGAUAGCCAACAUGAUUGGUAUAAAAAAAUAUACAACACAAUUCAUAAAGUUAGCGACGGAGAUGGCUUUGUAACUGUUCGCUACAAAACCCGUCGAGGAAACUACCCGUACAAAUCAUCAAACGGUUAUGCUUCAGAACCUGAACAAAGUCACAACUUAGAGCAUAGAAAAUGUAAAACUUUGGAUCGAAAAAUCAACCCAUCAUGCAGAAAUGUACUGAAAUCAACAACAUUCGCAUGUGAGAAGCCUGGAAAAAUUGAAGAUUUUACUCCUGGUGAUAUAUCAUCAACAGAUAAAAAAAGAAAAGGGGCAAUUUUCGGAUUCCAUGUCUAAAGGACUGAAAUAGGAAAAUUGACUAGAAACGGUGCACUGAGUGGUAUUCAGAAAGAGUGAUGAUCAGUGAGUACAGCGGGGG